GACGAACCGUGCAAACGUUGUUCGGAAUCACUGGGCUUAAAGGGCGCGUAGGCGGGCCAGCCAGUCUGUGGUGAAAGCCUCCAGCUUAACUGGAGAAGUGCCGUGGAUACUGCUGGCCUCGAGGAGGAUAGGGGCAUCUGGAACGGUCGGUGGAGCGGUGAAAUGCGUUGAUAUUGGAAGGAACGCCGGAGGCGAAAGCGGCGCACUGGAUCUCUACUGACGCUGAGGCGCGAAAGCCAGGGGAGCAAACGGG
rnacentral:rRNA from 1 species